UACGAAGGGUGCAAGCGUUACUCGGAAUUACUGGGCGUAAAGCGUGCGCAGGCGGUUAUGUAAGACAGUUGUGAAAUCCCCGGGCUCAACCUGGGAACUGCAUCUGUGACUGCAUAGCUAGAGUACGGGUAGAGGGGGGAUGGAAUUCCGCGUGUAGCAGUGAAAUGCGUAGAUAUGCGGAGGAACACCGAUGGCGAAGGCAAUCCCCUGGACCUGUACUGACGCUCAUGCAC
rnacentral:rRNA from 1 species